AGCAACGAUAUCCCAUCUGUACCCUUCCGCCACAUUGUGGGUGGGGUCCGCCGGGUCCAGGAUGAUGGGCCUGCAACACAGGGAGAGGGUCCCAGGCUCUCUCCUGGCUGGAGGCCAGCGAGCCAGAAAGAAUCCUGCUCAAGCGAACAUCUAUUCAAACCACUGAGCAUGUGCUGUGUCUGGAGGCCAGGGCUGUCAGGCCAAGAAGGCCCAAGAACAUUGCUGGAGACGAACUGAGAGGGGGAUGAUUAUAUUUCCAAGAAUUUCUUUUGGGGAGAGGAUCCCACUUCUGACACCUUCUCUACAAAGCAACUCCUGGCAACGACUCUGAUUAACAGGUGCUGGCACAAACGAAACCUGAUCAUCCGAGGUUGUAGCUGAUACUGCUUGCUUUGAACAUUGAGGACUUUUUGCCUGAGGACAAACCCAAGUGUUGGAGAGUUAACGGUCCUGGAAGCAGCCUCACCCAGGGAUGAUGGGAAGUUGGGCAAUAAACUUCAACAUCCCACUUA